rnacentral:lncRNA from 1 species
AUCGAAGGAUCUUAAUACUCUUUUCAAUUUAUUUCUCUACUUCAGCACGGAAUUAUUUGAACAUUUUAAAUGAUUCUGACUUAUGCUUCAUAAGAUAGACAUACUCAUACCUCGAUAGAUCAUCUGUAAACAUAAUGAAGUAGUAGAAUCAAUUGAAAAAUAUGUCCCAAAAGCUAAUCGUCAGCCUGUUGACGGUUGAACAACUUUAUAUU